rnacentral:tRNA from 1 species
GAGGGUGCACCUCAGUGGUAAGAGCGCUUGUCUUGCACACGUGAGGUCAUGGGAUCAAUUCCCAGCACCAUUA